rnacentral:misc_RNA from 1 species
GAUGAAGAACGUAGCGAAAUGCGAUAAGUAAUGCGAAUUGUAGAAUUCCAGUGAGUCAUCGAAUCUUUGAACGCACAUUGCGCCCUUUGGUAUUCCGAAGGGCAUGCCUGUUCGAGCGUCAUUAUCACCCCUCAAGCCCCCGGCUUGGUGUUGGACGGCUUGGUGGAGACCCUUUUGUGGCCCACCCCUCCCAAAGACAAUGACGGCGGCCUCGUUGGACCCCCGGUACACUGAGUUCUUCACGGGACACGUAUCGGACACACGGGUUUACGGGUCACGGUCUGCCUCCCCUCAGGGAGAACUUUUCUAAGGUUGACCUCGGAUCAGGUAGGGAUACCCGCUGAACUUAAGCAUAUCAAUAAGCGGAGGA